rnacentral:ncRNA from 1 species
GGGGAGUAUGGUCGUGAGGUUCAAAUUUAAAGGAAUUGAUGGAAGGGCACUACCAGGAGUGGAGCCUGUGGCUUAAUUUCACUCAACACGGGGAAACUGACCAGGUCCAGACAUAGUAAAGAUUGACAUACUGAAAGUGCUUUCUUGUUUCUAUGGGUGGCGUUGAUGAUUUCUCUUAUUUGGUAGAGCAAUUCGUCUAGUUAAUCCCAUUAAUGAACAAGACCUCAGCUUGCUAAGUAGCUACAUAGAGGCAUCCUCCACUGUCAGCUUCUUAGAAGGACUAGGCCAUUUAGGCCACGAAAGUUUAGGCAAUAACAGACCUAUGAUGCCCAAAGAUAAAGUAGGGCCGCAUGCAUGCUACACCUAUGUAUUCAAAUAAAAAUAGCCCUGCCGACAUAAAAUAACCAAAAGGUGUCACAAUUUAGUAUGACAAUGCACUUCCUUUUAAUUUCACUGAAUUUUCAUUACUCAUGAAAUCAAUUUACAAGUACUUAUAUUUUACCUUUGCAAA